GCAUCGAGCCCUUGCGCACGACGGAGGGCGGCCCAUGGUCUGUGGGUCGGAUGUCUGGCGGUCACACCCGCCGGGAAGAUCUUCUGGCGGAAACAGAAUCUGCUCCUUUCGGGAAAGGCUGAUUGCGCGGUUACGUGCAGCGUGUGUUGAGGAGUGGCUCUGGAAACUUAAAGAGCCCGACGAUCAAGUGAUCUUGCCAACUACCGUUUUAAUCAGCAUGUUUUAUUUUGUUGUGGUACAGGCUCAGAGCCCAAUGCAAGCCCUGGCAGAUGUCUUCAACACCAGAGUGACACUCAGCCUGAAGGCCAGGAUUGAAGACUGGAAGUACAGGGGCAAGAAAUACCUUUGAAAAUACUCCAGUGUCCAAACUGCUCACUGGUGUUGCUGCCUUUUGAGCCAGGGCACGAGGCUUUGUUGAGGUCACUACUUUUCAUUCCCUCCAAGAUGGACAAGAUGUUUGUUUUGUGCACAGUAAGUGGAACACAGGGCCUCCGGCAUGGUGCUUGUAUGUUCCCUUCAGAAACUAAGGUUUGUAUUGGGAUUAGGACGCAUGCAUGUGCUUUUCAUGAAUUUUUUUCUGUCUAAUCCCUGACAGCUAAUCUGAGUAUCCCCUACCAAUUCUGAGGUGAGCCAUAACUCAGAACUAAGGGACUGAAGGCUGCUAUCAUAGACCAUGAGCAGCCGCUCCAACCACAGCCCUGGCACAGACCACCCAUAAGAGCAUUUCCACCUCCUAGGAAGAUAAAUUCAUAUUUAUAUUGUCUCUGUCUCUCCAUCUUGUGUGUAUAGGAGGAGUGAUACGCGUAUGUAUUUAGAGGCCAAAAAGUGUCUUCCUAAAUCUUACCGUUUCCUUUUUGGGAAUGAAUCUCAGGCUGGUGAAAUGGCUCACUAGGCAAAGGUGCUUGCCACCAAGCCUAAUUACCUGAGACUCAGAUGGUAAGAGGGAAC
ensembl:antisense 1110002L01Rik RIKEN cDNA 1110002L01 gene